CCUACGGGGGACAGCAGUGGGGAAUAUUGCACAAUGGGGGAAACCCUGAUGCAGCGACGCCGCGUGAGUGAAGAAGUAUUUCGGUAUGUAAAGCUCUAUCUGCAGGGAAGAAAAAAGCCGGUACCUGACUUAUAAGCCCCUGCUAACUACGUGCCAGCCGCCUCGGUACUUCCGAGGGGGCACGCUUUAUCCGGAUUUACUGGGUUUAAAGGGAGCGUAGACGGCGCGACAAGUCUGAAGUGAAAGGCCGGGGCUUAACCCCUGAACUGCUUUGGAAACUGCCAUGCUAGAGUGCUGGAGAGGUAGGCGGAAGUCGUGGGGUAGCGGUGAAAUGCGUAGAUAGUACGAGGAACACCAGUGGCGAAGGCAGCUUACUGGACAGUAACUGACGUUGAGGCUCGAAAGCGUGGGGAGCAAACAGGAUUAGAUACCCUUGUAGUC
rnacentral:rRNA from 1 species